rnacentral:tmRNA from 1 species
GGGGCCGACUGGAAUUGACGGGCUGUGUUGCAGCGUAUGUGCAUGCAGGCGCAUGGGGUGCGCGCCUUGAAUACUAGCUCCAAACAUUAUUUGGCAACACUUCGUAUGCCAUGGCAGCCUAAUCCGGAAGUUUAGUACGGAUUACCUAUCCUGACGAAGCGUCAGGACUGUCACAUCGCUCCAAAGCCUGCCUUGAGCGGAGGGUUAAGCGGUGUCAAACAUCAGGGCUGGUUCUGGUAAGGCUACGCAACUAGAAUGAGAUUAAGUAGAUAAGGAAUUGCUAGGGUGUUUUACUCCGGGCCAUUCUCGAAAAACCAAGUAAAACUAAGCAUGUAGUGCAUACGUUCUGUGGCCUUCUUCGGACGGGGGUUCGAUUCCCCCCGGCUCCACAA